AGUGAACGCUGGCGGCAGGCCUAACACAUGCAAGUCGAGCGGCAGCGCGGGGCAACCUGGCGGCGAGCGGCGGACGGGUGAGGAAUGCAUCGGAAUCUACCCUGUCGUGGGGGAUAACGUAGGGAAACUUACGCUAAUACCGCAUACGACCGAGAGGUGAAAGUGGGGGACCGCAAGGCCUCACGCGAUUGGAUGAGCCGAUGCCGGAUUAGCUAGUUGGUGGGUCAAAGGCCCACCAAGGCGACGAUCCGUAGCUGGUCUGAGAGGAUGAUCAGCCACACUGGGACUGAGACACGGCCCCGACUCCUACGGGAGGCAGCAGUGGGGAAUAUUGGACAAUGGGCGCAAGCCUGAUCCAGCCAUGCCGCGUGUGUGAAGAAGGCCUUCGGGUUGUAAAGCACUUUUGUUCGGGAAGAAAUCGUGGGGGCUAAUACCCCGUACGGAUGACGGUACCGAAAGAAUAAGCACCGGCUAACUUCGUGCCAGCCGCCGCAGUAAAAC
rnacentral:rRNA from 1 species